rfam:Lactobacillus oryzae DNA, contig: sequence29, strain: SG293.
GGUAUUGUUUGCCCCACGAUAAGCCCCGGAAACUUGUUAAGGUGUCAAACAAACACAGA